UUACUUUUUUUUUUAAAGCCCUACUCCCCAACAUUUAACCUUAAAAACUAUUUUAAAUGUAUUUUAUUAUAAGGGAAAUACAAAUGGCUGAUAAAUACCAAAAACAUUCAAAAGCAGCUUAAUUUAAAAAGCACAAAGAGAUUCUGGCUUGAAAUGCCAAAACCUCAAAUGUUUUUAUAGUUGCUGAGCUAAAUAAUGUGAUUCUUGAGUUUACAGAUUUAAACUGUCACUGAAAGGUUAAAGUGUCUACUGUUUUAUGAAAUUAAACUUAACACUGCCUCAGAAAUCCCGGUACUGAAAUGGUAACAUGGAAGUAAAGAGAUCAGUAUGAAAUAGUGGUGAGUCACAAUGAUUAAAAAAAAAAAAAAGGUUGGUUUGCAGAAAGGCAUAAGAAGAAAAGGUUAUUGGAAUAGUUACUCAGCAGCACAUUUACUCUCUCAAAAAUAGUCUCAUAUGGGUUGGAUUUUUAAUAUCAGAUUAUAUAAUUUUGGUCUCUGGUCAAAAUUUUGUACCUUAUAAUACUUAGAGCCAGGCUUAACGUUAUGUGGCUUUGUCUAUUACAGAUACUUGGAAAUGCCACCAAAUAUGUUGUUCUCUAAAGAGUAACUUUCUCUUAUUGAUUGAAAAUUACAGUUCUUAUAAACAAAACCCAUAUAUAAAUAGAUAUAUAUAAAUUAAUUUUAUUGCAGAAGUUUGAAAUUUAUAGCAUUUGAAUCUGUAUUGGACAAAAAAGCACUAUGCUUUUCAAAUGAUUUGAAAGUCACAUUUAUUUGCCUCUUUAUUUUGAUGAUGGUUUGAUUUUUUUUUUUUUAGUAAAAAAAAACAAAAAACUAAACUUGUGCAAUGGUAGCAUGGAAAUUAUCUGAGGUAUCGUUGUAUGAUUGUGCUUUAGCCAGGGUGGACAUAGCUUAAUAAAAACUAGAGAUUAAAGUACAAAAAAGUAUAAGUCCAUGCUGUCUACUUCUAAGAGAACUUUUGUUCUUCAUAACUAGAUAACAUUAUGUUGCUGAUUCAUAAGGGGUUUAAAUUAAUUCUGUGAGUUAGAGCACCAGAGUUAUUAGUGUCCAUUUUCAUUUAAGAU
rnacentral:lncRNA from 1 species